rnacentral:miRNA from 3 species
GACUUGGUCAAAGCUCCUCAGU